GGGAUUGCCCCAGUAACGGCGAGUGAAGCGGCAACAGCUCAAAUUUGAAAUCUGGUCCCCAGGGCCCGAGUUGUAAUUUGCAGAGGAUGCUUUUGGUGAGGUGCCUUCCGAGUUCCCUGGAACGGGACGCCAUAGAGGGUGAGAGCCCCGUCUGGUUGGAUACCGAGCCUCUGUAAAGCUCCUUCGACGAGUCGAGUAGUUUGGGAAUGCUGCUCUAAAUGGGAGGUAUAUGUCUUCUAAAGCUAAAUAUUGGCCAGAGACCGAUAGCGCACAAGUAGAGUGAUCGAAAGAUGAAAAGCACUUUGAAAAGAGGGUUAAAUAGUACGUGAAAUUGUUGAAAGGGAAGCACUUAUGACCAGACUUGGCCCCGGUGAAUCAUCCAGCGGUCCCCGCUGGUGCACUUUGCCGGGGUUCAGGCCAGCAUCAGUUCGCUCCGGGGGAUAAAGGCUUUGGGAAUGUGGCUCCCUCGGGAGUGUUAUAGCCCAUUGCGUAAUACCUUGUGGCGGGCUGAGGUUCGCGCUUUAUGCAAGGAUGCUGGCAUAAUGGUCAUCAGUGACCCGUCUUGAAACACGGACCAAGGAGUCGUCUUCGUAUGCGAGUGUUCGGGUGUUAAACCCCUACGCGUAAUGAAAGUGAACGCAGGUGAGAGCCCUCCAGGGCGCAUCAUCGACCGAUCCUGAUGUUCUCGGAUGGAUUUGAGUAAGAGCAUACGGGGCCGGACCCGAAAGAAGGUGAACUAUGCCUGUAUAGGGUGAAGCCAGAGGAAACUCUGGUGGAGGCUCGCAGCGGUUCUGACGUGCAAAUCGAUCGUCAAAUAUGGGCAUGGGG
rnacentral:rRNA from 1 species